rfam:Angiostrongylus costaricensis strain Costa Rica genome assembly, scaffold: ACOC_scaffold0000962
GAUUUUGCACAGUAGCGAUAACGUGACCAAUGAAGCUUUGCCGAGAUGCGUUUAUUGCUGCUUGAAAACUUCACCGAAUUGCCGGCGAUUGCGCCUGAAACAUGGGUGUGACACGCAAUUUUUGAACGCCUCAAGGUAGA